GAAAAUUGCAAAGGGGAAAGCAACUGUCAACCGUUAGCCGUUUCUUGGCAGGGCGAGGCUGAAAUACAAUACGGCGACAUUCUGAUUGUGGAAAUUAAUGAUGCCCUCCUCAACGGUCGAAACACUUCGAGGGCUCAUCCAAUUCAAGUUUAUCAGGUAACGCGGUCCGGACACGAGCACUGCGAUGCAACCGAGGGUAUCCUGUUGGAUAUCACACCGCUUGUAGUGGAUGGCAGAAAACUUGUGACACUUUACGAUAAGGACCUAACCGAGGGAGUCAACUUGCUAAUUGUUGUAUCUGAACUUUGGGCUGCGAAAUGUGUCCGACUUAAGGUGACCACAAAAACGGAAAAUUGUGGUGAGAGUGCUGAUUGCUCCGGCAAAGGUGUUUGUUAUUCAAGUCCGGCAAUAGAAGAGUAUGAAUGCCAAUGCUGUAGCGGUUUUGCUGGACCACAUUGCGAGGAAAUUGAUGCAUGUACACCGAGUCCCUGCACGAAUAAUGGCAUUUGUAUUGAUUUGUCACAAGGACAUGAAGGCAAUUCGUACCAGUGUUUAUGUCCU